AAACCAUGCACCGAAGCUGCGGCAGCGACACUGUGUGUUGUUGGGUAGGGGAGCGUUCUGUAAGCCUGUGAAGGUGUGUCGUGAGGCAUGCUGGAGGUAUCAGAAGUGCGAAUGCUGACAUAAGUAACGAUAAAGCGGGUGAAAAGCCCGCUCGCCGGAAGACCAAGGGUUCCUGUCCAACGUUAAUCGGGGCAGGGUGAGUCGACCCCUAAGGCGAGGCCGAAAGGCGUAGUCGAUGGGAAACGGGUUAAUAUUCCCGUACUUGGUGUUACUGCGAAGGGGGGACGGAGAAGGCUAUGUUGGCCGGGCGACGGUUGUCCCGGUUUAAGCGUGUAGGUGUGUGUUCCAGGUAAAUCCGGUUCACUUUAACACUGAGGCGUGACGACGAGGCACUACGGUGCUGAAGCAACAAAUGCCCUGCUUCCAGGAAAAGCCUCUAAGCAUCAGGUAACAUCAAAUCGUACCCCAAACCGACACAGGUGGUCAGGUAGAGAAUACCAAGGCGCUUGAGAGAACUCGGGUGAAGGAACUAGGCAAAAUGGUGCCGUAACUUCGGGAGAAGGCACGCUGACACGUAGGUGAAGUGAUUUACUCAUGGAGCUGAAGUCAGUCGAAGAUACCAGCUGGCUGCAACUGUUUAUUAAAAACACAGCACUGUGCAAACACGAAAGUGGACGUAUACGGUGUGACGCCUGCCCGGUGCCGGAAGGUUAAUUGAUGGGGUCAGCGCAAGCGAAGCUCCUGAUCGAAGCCCCGGUAAACGGCGGCCGUAACUAUAACGGUCCUAAGGUAGCGAAAUUCCUUGUCGGGUAAGUUCCGACCUGCACGAAUGGCGUAAUGAUGGCCAGGCUGUCUCCACCCGAGACUCAGUGAAAUUGAACUCGCUGUGAAGAUGCAGUGUACCCGCGGCAAGACGGAAAGACCCCGUGAACCUUUACUAUAGCUUGACACUGAACAUUGAGCCUUGAUGUGUAGGAUAGGUGGGAGGCUUUGAAGUGUGGACGCCAGUCUGCAUGGAGCCGACCUUGAAAUACCACCCUUUAAUGUUUGAUGUUCUAACGUGGACCCGUUACCCGGGUUGCGGACAGUGUCUGGUGGGUAGUUUGACUGGGGCGGUCUCCUCCUAAAGAGUAACGGAGGAGCACGAAGGUUGGCUAAUCCUGGUCGGACAUCAGGAGGUUAGUGCAAUGGCAUAAGCCAGCUUGACUGCGAGCGUGACGGCGCGAGCAGGUGCGAAAGCAGGUCAUAGUGAUCCGGUGGUUCUGAAUGGAAGGGCCAUCGCUCAACGGAUAAAAGGUACUCCGGGGAUAACAGGCUGAUACCGCCCAAGAGUUCAUAUCGACGGCGGUGUUUGGCACCUCGAUGUCGGCUCAUCACAUCCUGGGGCUGAAGUAGGUCCCAAGGGUAUGGCUGUUCGCCAUUUAAAGUGGUACGCGAGCUGGGUUUAGAACGUCGUGAGACAGUUCGGUCCCUAUCUGCCGUGGGCGCUGGAGAACUGAGGGGGGCUGCUCCUAGUACGAGAGGACCGGAGUGGACGCAUCACUGGUGUUCGGGUUGUCAUGCCAAUGGCACUGCCCGGUAGCUAAAUGCGGAAGAGAUAAGUGCUGAAAGCAUCUAAGCACGAAACUUGCCCCGA
rnacentral:rRNA from 2 species